rnacentral:rRNA from 1 species
UGGGGAAUAUUGGCACAAUGGGCGAAAGGCCUGAAUCGCAGCGACGCCGCGUGAGGGCAUGACGGCCUUCGGGCUUGUAAAACCCUUCUUUCAGGCAGGGAAGAAGCGAAAGUGACGGUACCUGCAGAAGAAGCGCCGGCUAACUACGUGCCAGCAGCCGCGGUAAUACGUAGGGCGCAAGCGUUGUCCGGAAUUAUUGGGCGUAAAGAGCUCGUAGGCGGUUAGUCGCGUCUGCUGUGAAAACUCGAGGCUCAACCUCGGGCUUGCAGUGGGUACGGGCUGACUAGAGUGCGGUAGGGGUGACUGGAAUUCCUGGUGUAGCGGUGGAAUGCGCAGAUAUCAGGAGGAACACCGAUGGCGAAGGCAGGUCACUGGGCCGCAACUGACGCUGAGGAGCGAAAGCAUGGGGAGCGAACAGGAUUAGAUACCCUGGUAGUCCAUGCCGUAAACGUUGGGCACUAGGUGUGGGGU